rnacentral:rRNA from 1 species
UACGAAGGGGCUAGCGUUGCUCGGAAUUACUGGGCGUAAAGCGCACGUAGGCGGCUUGUUAAGUCAGGGGUGAAAUCCUGGAGCUCAACUCCAGAACUGCCUUUGAUACUGGCGAGCUUGAGUUCGGGAGAGGUGAGUGGAACUGCGAGUGUAGAGGUGAAAUUCGUAGAUAUUCGCAAGAACACCCGUGGCGAAGGCGGCUCUCUGGAACGCAACUGACGCUGAGACGCGAAAGCGUGGGGAGCAAACAGG